rnacentral:rRNA from 1 species
UACAGAGGGGGCUAGCGUUAUUCGGAAUUAUUGGGCGUAAAGGGCGCGUAGGCGGCCAUGCGUGUCUUCCGUGAAAUCCCUCGGCUUAACUGAGGACGUGCGGAAGAAACUGCAAGGCUCGAGUCCGGGAGAGGGGGGUGGAAUUCCCAGUGUAGCGGUGAAAUGCGUAGAGAUCAGGAAGAACACCCGUGGCGCAAGCGGCCACCUGGCAGAGACCUGACGCUGAGGCACGAGAGCGUGGGGAGCGAACCGG